GUACAAGAACAUGAUAACUUAAGAAAAGCAGUUCUGCCGUGUGGUUGGAAAUUUGCAGGAGAAAUGACAAUGAUCUAUGUGCAAUUGCUUCUGAAAUCUGGCUUUAGGCUCUAGCAUGCAGGGUGAUAGAAUAGACACAUGUGACAUCUCCAAGGGGACGACAUAGAGAAUAUCCAUAAAUAUACCAUAGGUUCUAGGCUUCUAGCAAGGACUAAGAUAUAUAAUUUUUUGAAACUUUGAAUAUAUUUCACCUCAUUUUUAAUAACGCAGUGGACCUAAAUCGUAACUACUGUGGAUUAAAAAGCAACGAAUGAAUAAAGAAGGUACAUUAGAUGAUAAAUCUGAAAAAAGGAGAAUAUAGAAGAUAAAUUAUAAUAGCGGGAGGAUUCCAUUAUAAAUAAAUAAAUGAACAGAUCUUGUCCAGAAUAAUUCUUUAUGAUAAGUGGAAACCAAAUCACAACUAGCUUCACUUUUUGGUUAAAGUACACGUCCAAUUGUACUAAUCAUAACUUAUAAGUUCAGUAGGGGCCUAAUAUAAACUCGCCUACAGAUCUAAUACUUACAUUGAUAGCUGGACAUAAUUAACAAAACAAUCGUUUAUGGAUGAUUACAUAAAUCAUUAAGCUCUAGUAUGUAAGUUCAUUAGUCAGACACCACACAAAAGAACUAAUCAUUAUUGAGUUAACACGGCACAUUUUACAUUGAAAUAUUAGCCAGUCUCACAUCCAUUUUAAGAUUUGUGCAGACCAUAGAAGCUAUCAUAUACAUAGGGCGACUAGCCAACUCAAGUCCAUUCUCUCUUAUCUUCUGGGAAAAAAAAAAGAGAGAGACAAAAUGCCCAAGGAGGAUAGCAACUUCUACUGUAACCUAUAGGCUAAGUGACUGUUCGGCUUCAUAACUAAAACACUGUUUUCUAUUUUAAAAAACAGGGAGACGGUUUUCAGAAAACAGAUGUGGUGUUUGGUCCCGUUUCAAAACGGUUUCCAGAAAUAUAUAAUUAGAAAACAGUUUUUUAAAACAUGAAAAUGUUUUGUCUGUAUAUAGAAAACAGAAGUAAGGCCAAAAAACACUUAAGUUUGUCACGUGGGACUAAUAAACCCUGGACAAAGGACUUAUGUGCUUCAAGUCUAUACAGAGUUCAGUCCUUAAGUUGUUUCAUGGACCAACAUGUUAAGGGUUUAAUUGCAAUAUAUUAGGGGGAAAUUAUAAUUCUUGGAAACAUAGUGCAAGGGUUAAUAUAUAUGGAAGUUUAUCCAGAGAAAUCUUGUUGUUUCAUCAACCAUUCCCACUACAAAUAGUAGCUGGAGAAUUUAAGCUACUAUCACAGGCACUCGAAUAAAUAAAGCUACCAGUUCCUUGAAAGUUGCGGUAAGCUACAAACAUGUAAAUGACAAAUUAAGAACGAACCUUAACCCUCCACCAAAGGUGACCACUUAGUGACACUUCAUGAAUAUGGCUCACUUAUCAAUUAUUUAGAGAUCGAUGGAAUAAGAUAUAGAGCACAAAAAUAUAGAUGUAUCCAACAUAACACAAGGGAGUUACCUAAUACUUAAACCCAACGAAGCCAAACAAUAAAUUCCAUAUUAACUAAGAAAACUUAAUUACUAAUUGUAUGAGAAGAUCCUCUCCAAAAAACUUAUCAGAAAUAAUAUACAACAAAACCUAAACACACUAUCUAGUGGAUGCCCCUCCUAUCGUAGAUACUCCUCUCAUUAAAACAAGAGAUGAGAUUCGAGCAAUCAUUGAGGCAUAUGUGUGGGAUUAUCAUGUAAAAUCUAUGUGGAUGCUCACUUGCCUUCCAAAAACAAAGCAUAUCCAGCAAAAUCAACCAAAUAAGAAGUAAAAACAGGUAGUUACAUAAAUUCCCAUGGUACAGCAAACUAUAAGCCAAAAAAAAUAUUCCCUAUACACAUCAAAACCAAAAUUCAAACUAUGCAACUAAACCAAUCAACUCAAACAAAAACAGAUCAAGAUCAUAAUUUGAAAACACACACAUAAAUAAACCAAACAACAAGCAACCCAAAUUGACCAACCACCACAAAAAACACACCAAGACUUCAUUUUUACUUUGACCAAACAAAAACCCACCAAAACAAGCAUCAAACAAACCAAAAAAAUCACAAAAAACAAAGAAAAAAGACAUAUACAUACAGGAAAUGAAUCACCCAGAUGGCCAAUCUGCUCAGAAUCAUCAUUUCCAUCACCAAGAUCACAUUUUGACAAGCUUUUACCCCAAUUCUGGAUCUGGGUAUCCACCAAAUUGACAGGCUGCUGCUGCUGCCAUUCCUCCUCGGGAUUCUCGCCACAACCCAGCUUCUCCAUUCCUUCACAAACUUGCUCUGUGUCUUGCAAACACAUUAUAAACCACCCACUAGUUAAAAAAUUCAAUCUUUCUUUAAUAAAAAUCUGAUCUUUAUAGUGUUUGAGCAACUUGUGUGUUUCACAAGGGGAGAGAGAGAAGAAAGGAAUCUAAAAGCCCAAUAAUUUAUUAAAAUUUUGAAGAAUACAGGGAGAUAUAUAAGGUUUUUCUGUUGGGGAAGUUAUAGGAAAUGUAUACAUACAAGUGUGUGUUUUCUAUGUGUGUAUUUGUGUGUGUUUGUGUUUUGUAAUGAGGAUUAGAUAAGAAAAAUAAGAGAGAUGGUGUUAAAAAAGUUCCAGACUUUUCUAAGAAAGUGUGGCUGUGAUGUAAGCAGAUAUUUGUACAAAACUCCAUUAGAUUUUGUUUAAUAUCAAGACAAAGUAAAGGUGGAGAGAUCUUAAAUGUGGACACACUCUAGCCCACUAUGAAUAUGGGUAUAAAUUAAUUAUUGUUUUUCCUCUUUUAUGUGAAUUUACCCAUGGUAUGAAAUUUGCAAAAUCUAUUCUUCAAUUACAAAUUCUGCUCCCUUCGGGGAUCGAACUCGUGACUAAAACUAUACAUGUCCUUUCUUUAACCGGCUAAAUUAACCCGGCAAUUUUUCAAUAUUAUGAAUAAUGAGGUCAUUGUAGUAUUAUAAAAAUUAUAUAAAGUAUAAUUUUAUAAUUUAUUUAAUGUUCUUAUUUUCUGAAAAAAAAUUUUAUAUUUUAAUUAUUUCUUUUGUAAAUCCCAUUUUUAGCAACAUAUAUAGAACAUAUUAGAUUUAACGCAUUUAUAAAUCAGAUAUAAAAUCAUAUUCUUUUUAAUUGGGUAUCGAAUCGUUUGUAAAUGUAUCAUACGUACGAUUCUAUAAUUUACAAUAAUUAAAAUAAAAUUAUACUCACUAAUAAACAAAAAAUCGACCACAAAUAAUUUUAGAAAAACAAUAGCGUACUCAUUCCUACAAUAUCAUCAACGACAUCAACCUUCGAUAAAAAUAUUUAAUUAAAUUAUUUUUUUGCUUAAUUUGUACUCCUGAUAAACUUGAAAACCCGUGAAUCAUGACUAAAAAGCAAGUAGUGUGGCAUUUUAUUAAUGUUCCAAAGAUAGAGCAAGACAAGUUCAAAGAAAACGGUGACAAACUUGGCAUCAAUUUCCAAUUAUUGGCCUCAAAGUUACGCCGAAAUGAUAAUGCUAUCUUUCACACUUUUGAUAUCUACCUAUAGGAUUCUACUAAAUCCAUAUAAUUAUUUGAGUAAUCAAUAUGUAGGCCAAACAAAUACCACCUUAUGCACACAUGCUUUUAUCUUCAUGUCAGCCGUUUCUCUUAUUUGUUUACGGUUUUUUUUUUAUUUGACAAGUAUCUUAAUAUACAUAAAAAAUAUAAUUUUAUUAUUUAUUUUUAUUUUUUAUUUUUAAUAUCUUAAACUUUUAUUCAAAAAAUAUUUAAAAAAUCCUAUAAAUUAUAUUUGAAAGGAUUCUUAAAUUAUGUAUUGGAAUCCCGUCUCUUAAGACAUAAAUGUUAAGAGAAUAUAUUAACACAAAAAGAACACGCCUGAUAUUAGGUACGAAUAAUAUAUUGUUGACGAUAUUAAACUUUUGUUCCUGACAAAAUGUCAAAAAUUCAAAUGUUAUUAGCAUUAUUAUAUACACAAACAUAUUAAAAUAAUGUUAAAGUAUUUAUUAUUUGACGGACUAAAAACUUCUUACUCGAAUUGAAAUAAUGUGUUCGCAGGUUAAUCCAAUUUUAGAUCGUUGAUACGAAAUUAUUAAAAAAAUCUAUACCGACAGAAGAAGAGUAAAUAUACAGUAGUGCGGUUCUGGCUUCGAUGGGUAACAGUUGUGCCACAUGCAACAAAAGGUGGUUGAAUAAAAAAAUAAUUAAAAAUGUAGUGUAUGAAAUUGGAGCAUACUGACUGGCAAUGAGUAAGCCACGCAAGUAUUUGGGUUUGAAAGCGAAAGGGAACGAAAGGAGAAAGACGAAUCACAUGGUGUAAUGAGAGAGAGACUCCCAUCAACUUGAACCGACCAACACUAUGCGCAAAGCAGUGUUCCACAUUAGCUGCAAAUUUAAGUUUUGCCGAGUGCUUAAUUUCGAGUUGGAAGCAGGGACGGAACCAAGAAUUUGGGUUGGGGGAGCUUGACAAGUGAAUAACAAAGAAAAAAAUAUUUUUAUUCAUAUUAGGAACCAAAAAAAAUAGAACUUCACCCAGUUAAUCAGAAUUCUCUAUUCUAUUUUCUGAAUCUACUUGAUUAUAUUGAUGCAGGACUUAGUUGAUAAUGAGCAUAGACUUACUUAACACAUAAAUUACAUAACAUUUAUAACUACUGAACUUUUAUUUUGAAAAUUACCCUAGGCUUAAGCCCAAGUAAGCCCCGGGCUACUUCCGUCUCUGGUUGGAAGGCUGUGGAAAUCGAAUAUCGGACAGGUUCAGAAUUUAUCGAAUUUUGUUUAUUGAAUUUGUGAUUUUUUGUUAAAUUGGAAUAUAAUUUACCUGUAAAAUAUAUAUUCAGGAUAAUUGGAAUUUUUUCAAUAAAUCAAAGAUUUUCAGAACACUGAUCAAAUCCAACAAGAUUUUUUAGUUCAGAUUCGGUUUUUGAUUUGGAUCUGAGUUCGGUCAGAAUAUUUUGCAAUUUUUUUUGAACUCAAAUGUACACAAAAGAAUAAGAUCUCAAAAAUAUCCAAAUUUGAUUUGAUUUAAUUAUGUUUUUAAAAUUCAAAAUAUUGAGAUGAAAAUUUGACUAUAAUCGGUCCGAAUUCUGAUCUGAGUAUUCGGCCGAGUCAAAUCUGAAUUUUACUUAAAUAGUGUAAAAGAUGAAUUAUUUGGAUGUAACCCUACUCAGGACUAAACAGCACGAAAAUUUGUUGCACAACUUUUAUUUUUGAUGAAGAUGAAAUGUGAUUGGGGUAGGGGUGAACAAAACCAACCCAAACCGCAAAAACCGACCCAAACCAACCCUUUUUUCACCCGAUUAAACCGAACCAUUUGAAACCGAUUAUUAAAUGGGUUGAUUUUCAAAAAACCCGAAUAAAUUGGGUUGGGUCAGGUUUUACAUAUUUUAACCCUUAACCAACCCAACCCAACCCGUUUAUAUAAAAAUAAUUAAAUAAACAUAUUAUUCCCAGAUCCAAUAUUUUUUUACCAUAUAGUUUGCUGGUUUUUUUUAAAUCCUCACUCACCAGAUACUGUUGAAUGACAGAUCAACUAGUAAAUUAAUUUACAACUCACCAGAUGCUAAAACUAGAACUGCCCUUAUAUAACUUUUAAGCAGACUAUCUUCUGAUAUGUAAAUUAGGACAAUAUUUUGUUAUGUAUUAUGAACUAUGAAGUGCAAGAACAGUGAACUGGAGCAGAUUGGCAAUUUGGCAGCAUUGACGGUUUAUUUAGUUUGUAUUUUUCUUUUUUGCUUGUAAAACCCGACCCAAACCGAACCAACCCAACUCAUAUUUUAAUUAGCAAUGUUGGGUUAUGUAUAUUUUUUUUGGUUAAUGGGUUAAUUUUUUAUAAACCGAACUAAUUGGGUUGGGUCAUUUUUUUACCCCUAACCCGACCGACCCAACCCGUGUUCACCCGGGGGUGGCCAACAAAAUAUGGGAAGAGAGUCACUAACCACUAUAUGAGAUUUGGACAGUAUCAUGAGACUUUUGGCACCCUAAAAGUCUGUCCUUUAAUUGAUUUUUCUAGAAAGUAUCCCUAAAUUAUUGCUAUUUCAAGAAGACAUGAGGACAAAAAUAUACUAUCAUACUAUAUGUACUCACUGAUCCCGUUGUGAGUAGUGUCUGAUGAGGGCAAAAUGUAAGCCGUUCUACCCCUACCACAUUUAGAAAAAGAGGUUGUUUCCGGUGAAAACCCUUGAUUUAUUGUAUAACAAAUAAACUAGUAUAUGUCAUAAUAUAACUAUAAUAACUUAGCUCAUGAUCCUAAUAAGGAAGAUAUGUUAUCAGUAUAUGUGCAUGGCACUAUGGACAAAAUCCAGAAUCAGAUUUUAGUAUGAUAUAUACAGGAAUUGCACAAGCAAAUGCAAGGACAAACAAGUAUUUCUGACGGGAUUAACACCCCCGAGAAGUGAUUGUCGGGAAUAAUGAGAAAAAUUUCUCAAAUGAGUAUCUAAGUCGUGAAUGGCAUUACUAGCUCGCUACGUACAUAUGAAAAAUCAAAAAUCUAGUAUCCCGUUUCAAUAAUAUAUAUUUAUUUUAACAAUCAUUUGUUAUGGAACCGACCCAAUUCUGGUAUCACGAAAUCUCUAUGGAUUAAAAAAGAAUAAAGAUCGAGAGUUAAAAUAUAAUUAUACAUGUUUGUUAAAUCAUGAAAAUGCUUAAAUUCAGCCCACAGUGAAAUUCACAAAAAGACAACAAAACGUAAGCUAAGAGUUAAGAUUAGUGUCAAAAAAGGACAACCAGAUCUCUGGAGUAAAGUCCUAAUGAUGUUGCUAAUCAAGUUUAACAAGUAGCAUUUGGUUCAGAUGCAUCUUAGAAGUCCGAAAAGGAGGUCUUUGUUUAUAAUUUUUGUGUGUGCUGGUUCAAAAUGUUGGACCAUAGUUGAUUUUAGCAUAUAUGCUCAAGAAGAAGAUACACCAUAAAAGUCAAGAAAGAAGGUGUAUUAGGGCAACUCCAAUGCAAUGCUAUACUUGGUUCCAUUGCUAUAUUAUAGCAUCAAAAGUAAAAAACUCAACUCCAAAGGGGUGCUAUAUUUGGAUGCAUCCAUGCAUAGAUGCAUCCUUGGUUCUAUAUUUGAAACCAAGGAUGGAUCCAUCCAUGUUGCCACGUCAUCCUUGGUUCUAUAUUUGUUGAGAUAUUUAAUAAAAUUUAUAGAAGUUAGGUAAAAGUUGAUGAGUUGGUUAAAUUUGAAACUAGUUAUAAAACUUAGCAUUGGAGUGCAAGUUUUAUUUUAGCAUCAAAAAACACUUUUUGGUGCUAUAUUAUAGCAAUAGCAAUAGAUAUAUAGCAUCUAGCAUUGGACUUGAUCUUAGUAGUAAAAUAUAGAUUGCUUUGCACUCAUUGUAAAUACUAGCACAAUUCUUAUGAUUGGUUCUUUCAGAAAUGUAAUAAUACAAAUAAAAAUAAUUAUAUUCCUUAGUGUUUUGAUAUAUACGCCGUGUGACUUUUUUACACAUAUUUUUGAGUCAAUAAUAAUAAUAAUAAUAUAUAAUUAGUACUAUAAUUCAAAAAAAUUAGAAAAAUAAUAAUUGUAGUUAUGUAGUUAAAGACCUUUGAAAUAUAUCUUAAAAAUUAAAUAUCCUAUAUUUUAAAAUGGAAAGAAUAUGAAAAUCAUUUUUCGGUGCGGAACUUAACACUCAAAGUAUACCAAAAGUAAAUAAAUGAAGUUCUCGAAUGAAAAACUAUGUGCCUGUUUGGGAAGGCACGAGAAGUGCUUCUUUUCCGAAGAAGCUAGCUUCUCCUUUACUUGACCCGUUUGUGUAAAAAAGCAGAAGCAUUUUUUAGAAAUUACAAAUGCUAGUUUUUAUCUCAGAGUUUCUACUUCUUUCCCAAACACUUUAAUCACUUAUAAACUUCUAACUUUUAAUUCAUUUUUUAACUUUAAUCAAGAAGCACUUAUUUUAAACUCAACUAAACGGCCCCUAUAUAUUGAUUCAUCAACAAAGUGUGAGCCGUUAGUUGUCUCGUGUGAGGUGUGACGAUGGAACACCGGAAUAGCGUGUAGGUUUAUGACCUGUUCCAUAUUUGGGCUUUCAUUGUAAUGGGCCAAAGUUUGCACUUGUGAACAAAAUUAAUUGUGAUUAAUCUUCAUGUAUUUUUGUUAUGCCCUGGAAAAUCUGCUCUUCUUUUUGUACCUGCUAAUGAAAAGAAAGCACCUUUGCAGAUAAUAAGAUUGUGUUUAAAAAAAAAUUGUAAUUUUAAAUUUUAAAUUUCAAAUGACAUGAUUUUGAGAUGUCGAUUCUAAUUUUCAGUUUUAUACUUAUUUUUUUAUCCAAAACAUUUUAUUUCAUCAAAUUCAGGUUCUCAAACGGGUCAUGAUAGUUUAUCAGGUGCGGGGAGAUGUGUUAACCUGGGAUUAUCUUCAUGUGUGUGCAUGAGUGUAAAAACACACACACAUAAGGUAAAUAAACUAUUGUCAGUUUGAAAUUAUGCAAUUCAAGAAAUAAGAAAUAUUUAGCAUUUUCUAACCUUAAAACUCGAGGUUUUGAUAAAGCACAGUGGAUAUGUGCAAAGCUCUGACAUGAAGCAAGUUAGCAAGAACUCAACAAGUAUCACAGUAAAUACCUAAACUGAUGUCCAGAGAACAAGAUUUUCAAGCAAAAGAAAAUAUUUAAACAGUUGCUUUUGCAGGAAAAAUAUUACUUAAGCAUUUGGAGUAGUUAUCAACAAACUGGGAAAAACAUUUGUGUAAAACUACUAGGAGUAGCUAUUAAUUUUGCUAGAAUGUUGGAAUAAAUCGGGUUAUUUUCGAGAGAGACUCUAAUCUUACUCCUUUAAAAUGAUUAACAAGAAAACUUAAAAAGUAUUUAUCCGAGGUUGGGAAUGUAUGUGAAGAUAUUAUAAUGAUCGAUGAGAAAAAGUAUUCGUCUGAUAUUGCGAAUGUAACUGAAGGAAAAUAUUUGUCUCAUCCAGUAAAUAAUGAUCUUCUAAUGUUGUUUACAAAUGGUAUAGAAAUAAUUUGAUAUAUUACAAAUUUGACUAUCAAGUGAACAAUAAUAGUGGAGUAGUUACAGAUGAACAUAAAUUAUGUACAGAAUCUCUCUGAUUAACCUUGAAACCUGCAGCAUUUCUGCAUUGUUGUCCAACUUCAGUUCAAAUUUACUUAAAUCAUCAAAUAUUCUAAUCACAGCUCAGUUGUAUAUAGGAAGUUUUCUAGUUGCCGGAGAAUAGUCCAGUUCUGCUAUGCCUAAAAUUUCUGUCGAAAACUGUUGAUGCCUCAACUUUAAGGUUGCCUGAGCUUUGAACUGGUGCUUAUGGAAAAAGUAGCAGAAGAAGUUUUUGUCUCAAGUGUUGAAAUAUAGCAUAAGAUCCACUUGGUGUCUUUCUCUAACACCUUAAGAUUUUAGAUGGACUGUUCUUAACAUGGUAUCAGAACUCAGGUUUGGCGACAACUUUCAUGCAUAAGUACAUGUAAAAUAAUUGACUAUCAAUCUUUUGUUAAUUUAUCACAACUUUGCAGAUAUCAAGAGGCUGAAUUCAUUAGACACUGUGUGCAUGAAUAUUUAAAUUUCCGACAAAUUCCAAACAUUGUAAAGAAGUCUUUUUUUGAUCUGCAGCUAAAGGUUACAAUUUUGUCACCUGACUUGUAAAUCUAACAAAAAAAACCAAAGGGAUCGUAGUGAAACUGGUUUCCAGUCUACUAGUUAUACCGUGAGGGCUUAUAAAUAAUUGUGCUAUCUAGUUAGAAAUGUUUCGAAUGAGUGGAACAGAUUAGUGGUGCCUAGGGCUGUGAUUCUUGGGUCCAUAGUAAUCUUCAUGUAUUGUUGGCAGCCAGUGGUGAGGUUCCUUCUUGUUUACUGCUCUUGAAAAUCUGGUCUGCUUCGUACCUGAACAACGAACACCUCUGCAGACAACUGCUUCAUUUUUAACACCAACCUCAACUUUUUUCAUCAAAUCGUUACUCUUGUCCUGCAUUAAACAUGAUCCUAACAAUCAGAAAAAUUCUCAAGAUGAUUUAAUAAUAAGACGCAGAAGAAGCACUAGUUAAUUAGCCGAAGAAAAGACCAGUUUUCACCUGAUCAAGCUUCUGAUCAUGCCUUUCUGAUAUUGAGGCUUUCCCUAAUCGUAUACCUUGAAAUACAUUUCAAAAGUCCGAAUCAGACUGGAGAAUAAUAAACUAAAAUGCUACAUGCAAAUAUGCAAUACUGAAUAAUAUUUAAACGCGCUUGUUGUCACUUGGAGUUAAUACCUUGAACUUCAUGGAGGAAAGAGGACAGAACCAGAAGUGAUAUAAAUACGACGGAAAUCUUCAUUGCUUCUUGAGAACUAGCAGCUAACAGAAACUAAUUGUUCAGCUACAAAGAGUAGUUUUACUCUCUCUUGCAAAUGCUAUAAUAGCUACAUAGUGAUGUUUGCUCUUAUAUAUACAACCUGAUAAAGGUCUAGCUUAGUGAUUAAAAAAAGAUUAGACUUUGCAGAAGCUUAUUACUUAAUGCUAAUCAACAUUCCAUAAAGGCUACUCAUUGAUAGAGAGAGAUGGGACAAAUUUAGACACCCUUCUCACAAAAGGGGGGGCUCCAUUUCCCUGAUGUUGAGAUCACUAAAUAAAUAUAUCCGAAACCGGGCAUAAUGCAGAAAAUAAUUAAGUGCAAACAAGCUGUUAUAGUUUGUUCCUUUGCUCUAAUUGGUUUUCGAUCAACUAAUAAACUAUGGUGCCCCCUUAAAGGCGAGGAUGAUUAAGCUAUGAUCAUCCGUAGCAAUAUCAGAGUUCUGGUACCAUGUCAUGUACAUUAUCCGAACGUGAAGUUUAAUAAGCAUAUUACAAAAAUCUUUAUGCUUUUCUCACUUUCAUUUGUAAUCAUGACCAUUUGUGUCAAAAAUCUGUAUUGUCGAAUUGAAGUGCCAAUUCUGCAUCUAGAUAUAAGGCAUUCGAUUGAUGAUAUACGAUUUUAUACUCAUUUUGCUUUACGAGACAUCGCUCAACUAAUCAUUUCCCUCUCCAUUUCUAUGAUACUUCAUUUGUGAUGCCCAUGAAAUGUUAUUCUGCAGACCUUUAGUUGAAUCUUGUCAACUCCAGAGCACUUUAGUAUAUUUCAGCUUUAGCCUUUUGUCAAUAUAUUAAAGAAUCUUGGUUAAAAUAUAAAAAUAAGUCCUAUAGAUUAUUAGAGAAUUAAGCCGACAAUGAGACAUUUAAUACUCGUGUGCCUCGGAUCAGAAUAGAUUAAUUAGGACAAUGGCCCGAGCAAGUGUAAUAAACUAAGCGGUCAUGCCUUUCAUGCUCACUGGCUUUUCACCAUAACCGCGUGUUUUGUGAUGGUCGUGUUUAUACCAGACCAGACAGUUCAUACUUCAUUUCGAGUGAAGAGAUCGACUCUUACUGGAGAAACCAGAGCUAGUGGAUGUUCAUCGUACCAACGUACAUCUUAAAUUUAAGCAAUCCCACUGCGGAAAUUUGUUAAAAUUGUGUGAUUGAACUCUUAAACUCGUAUAAAAGUACCUUUUACUAAAAUCUUAUAGCGCAAUUCAUUCAAACAUAAAAACAACCUUGAAUGUAAUUAGGCUAUGAAUGUCUUGUCACUUCUAACAAGGAUUUGCUGCAAAUUUAAUCCGUUAUCGGGGUCUCAGAUUUAUCAUCAAGGAUUGUCUUUAGCCCUGUAAUGGAACUACAAGCACCUGAGAAGCUCUGUUUUUGCUUAAUAUUCGAGUUUAUGUACUCAACAAAAAUAUUAUGAUUGCCCUGUUCCGAAUUUGAUGACAAAACAGAACUUCUUAUGUCACAUUUCUCUAAUGAACCCUAAUGUCAUCGCGAUUCAAUAAUUAAUUUUUUGGUUGAGAUUCGAUAUAGUUCAUUGUUCUUAAAAAUGAUAAAUUUUCAUCUAAAGAAAAUAUCUGUUUUUUGAUAAAAAGUGAGUUCAGACAUGAUGCAGAUGUUAAACUACUGGUGUCCACAAAUCAUAACAAGCGGCCCCCAAUAUAGUUACGUAUAUAUUUGCAGAAUUACACAUUAUUCUGUUUUGUAAUCUUUUAAAAAAAUUAUUACAAGCUCCAACACAACAAGGAAGUCUCAUGGCUUCUGCUUCUUCUUCAUCUGCACUCUGUCCUCUGCAGCAGCACCAAAAUCCUCUGUUCCCAAAAUACCCACCUGGCUUUCGUCCCCUUCACCGCGCUUCCUCCACGAACCAGAAGCUUGGUUUAAGUAUCCGCGCAAGCUCAGCUAUCGCUUUAGACCCGGUAUGUCCUCUUUCACAUGUAGUCCACAUAAAUUUACGCAUAAAAUUUUAUGGAGUCUCAGUUCUUGAAGUCCUCAGAGUCAUCUCUGGAAGAUUAUAUCUUUAAUUUUGCUUCGUUUAGUUGUUCAAUACGGAUAAAUUGAGCUAUGAUAGUUGAAUUGUAGAUGUUUGUACACAAUUUUGGGGUUAAGUUCUUCUCAUAUGAUACAAAUUGCAGUGGACUUUUUAGAGGGAUGAUAUUCUAUUACAAUAUGAUUUGAUUGGCAAGAAAGAAAUCAAGAUAUCUUCUGUUCUUGCCAACAUCUGUGAGUUUUCGUUGUUCCCUUAACCGCAAGAGUUGACCCCAGAAUAAUUCCUUGGCAAGAUCCCAAAUCCAAUAUCACGGCAUAAAAUGAAACAAAUUUGUCUAAAAUUCACAAUUUGGGAAUAUUGAGGAUAAAAGUUUCGGAUACAUUUUGCACUGUUAGAACUUAGAUGACUAGCUCUCCUGGAAUUUCUAAGAUGUUUGGGAAGUCUUAUACUUCAGCAUCAUUAUACUGCCUGAUAAUGAGAUUUUUUGCAGGUUUCAAGCAUCACAUCCCAAGAGGAUUUGAAAGAUGACUUGUUCGCAUGCCCAAUAUGUUACGAGCCACUGAUAAGAAAAGGUCCUAGCGGCUUCAACUUGUAAGUUGAAUAUACAUGGCUUAAUAAAUAAUAAUAACCUGCAUUUCUAAAUUAGUUGGGAAAUAACUUUAGAAUCUGGGAAUCUGCAGGCCUGCAAUAUAUAGGUCUGGAUUCAAAUGUUCGAAGUGCAACAAGACUUAUACAAGCAAAAACACGUAUCUGGAUCUCACGGUUACUUCUGGAACAAAGGUUUAUUCGGAAUCUAAACCAUCUAGGACUGAGCUGUUUAGGUAUGAAAAUACUGUAAAAUUUUUCCAUGGCUUAUUAAGAGUUAUACUAUUUGAACUUCAAGAAAAAAAAUCUAAAUUAUUUUGCUUUAAUUUCCAGCUUGAUCAUGUAUUCCUUUUUAAGUAGUUGAAUAUGUGGUCAUUAAAUUAACUGUUGAUUUUACAAAAGCCUAAUGUCGAUUCUGAUUACACCUUUUAUCAGGAGUCCACUGGUUUCAUUCUUGUACGAAAGAGGCUGGCGCCAGAAUUUUAACCGUGCUGGUUUUCCUGGACCUGAUGAAGAGGUAGAUUUUAGUUAUUGAUAUAUUAAAAAGUUAUACAUUAGAGUGAAUGAUAAAUUCUGUACUCUGUACUAAGGUUAUAAGAACUGCCAAGUCCAACAGAUCACUGCUGCUUAUUAAAACAAUGCAUGUACCCAUUUCUAUGGGUCGAUGUACUCUACUGUGUGAUUUUAUUGCGAGUUUGUGACCUCGAUUUUGCAGUUCACAAUGGCACAGGACUUUUUCAAACCUGCAGAAGGUGGUAUUCUUGUAGAUGUUAGUUGUGGAAGUGGUCUAUUUACUAGGAAAUUUGCCAAAUCUGGAACCUAUUCAAAAGUUAUUGCACUUGAUUUCUCUGAAAAUAUGCUUCGCCAGUCUUAUGAUUUCAUCAAAGAGGAUGAUACGGUUUUAAACUCGUAAGUUUCUUCUAUCCUCUGAGAAGCUAUAUCCUUCUACUUCAUUUUAAGCAAUUGGUAGAGCUGUUGUCUAACGUUCUUUAGGAACGUAAGCCCUCCUCCCAACACCUUGAGGUUUUGGAAGAAUUGGUCACUUAACAUGGUAUCAUAGCUCAUGCACCUUGAGGUUUUAGGAGAAUUGGUCUAUUAACAGAUACUCUCGUCAACAAGACCAAAGCAAGAUGACUAGCUUAAAUUAUAUUUCCAUUGGUAAAUCUGCAGCAAUCUCGCUCUUGUGAGGGCUGAUGUGUCGAGGCUUCCCUUUGCAUCUGGUUCAAUAGAUGCUGUCCAUGCUGGUGCAGCUCUACAUUGCUGGCCAUCUCCAUCUAACGCGGUAAGUUCCAGACCUGGAAAAAGUCUUCUCAAUGGUUAUUAAUUAUAUACGACACUCUUUUAAGUUCAAUAUAGAUGGACUAAUGAUGCUCAUUUUUUAUGCAUCAGAUUGCUGAAAUCAAUCGUAUACUAAGAAGUGGUGGUGUAUUCGUGGGAACUACCUUUCUUCGAUUCAGUCCAUCCACUCCAUCAUUCCUGAGGCCUUCUGGACGGGUGAUUCUUCUUCUCUUGCUGCAUGCACUCUUCUCCAUCUCUGCUUUCUGCACUCUAUCAAUAUAUUUAAAAACACAGUAUUGUCAUGCAUAGUAAAUCACCACAUAAUUAGGCCUUAUAACAAUGCAUUUGAGCUUCUGAAGAAGUUGAUAUAAAUUCAUACAAACAAGAAAAACUUCACAGUAAGUAAUGUAGAGAACUGGACUUAUAUGGUAUCUGGUAUUCAUCGCGGUGUACAUGCAUGGUUGAUCUAGUAAGAGGCACGAGGGCACACAUGUCUCCCGACUCNUAAAUUUUACAGAAUUAUAGAAGUGCAACCAGAAAAUUUGAAAACAUUUAAGUGUUUUCCAAAAAUUUGCUUGAUGCCCCGAGGAAAUUCCUCCUAGAUCCGCCCUGUGUACAUGGUAGCAUACCAGCAUGGUUUUCUCCUGUAAAUUAUCAAUUUACAUGAGAUCAUUCAUAGCUCAAGGAUUCUGCAUUGGUGAACUUCUGAUCAAAAUUGUCAUCAAGGUCUAAUGUGUGAUUUUGUUUGGCAGAGCCUAUCUCAGAACUACAACAAUUUGACAGCAGAGGAAAUUGAAGAUUUAUGCACAUCAUGUGGUCUUAUCAACUACUCAUGCAAUAUUCAACAGUCCUUCAUUAUAUUCACUGCACAGAAGGCUUAAAACUGGGUUUCCAUCCUCUAAACAGAGAAGAUAUAUUUCAAUUUUUCCUUGUUUAUAUGUUGAACAAUUCCUUCUUCGAGGGCCUGUAAUUAAUUUUUUGGAACAAGAUGCAAAACCUGAAAAAACACAAAAAUAAAUAACACAGAUUUUGCUUGUAUUGAAAAAUUGUUAUCAUUAGCGUACCCUUCAUAUAAUGAGAAUGCAGCUGAUCACAUCAUAUAAGGUUGGUAAUAGCAUCUCCGAGAGGCUCUUCAUCUAGGCUCCUAACUUGAAAUUUGAGGAGGAAGAGGAAAAAUGUUGCUCGAAGAGACUCUUAAGUGGCUCUUAAAUCACUAACGGCCUCUUAUUUCUCUCUCCUCUCUCCUCAAAGUUAAGAGCCACCACAUGGCUCUUAACUUAUUUUUUUCACAAUAAAAAAAUCCUUCCCUCCAAUUCACCAGUCCAAUAUAUGAAUAAAAUAUGAAAUAGAGAAGAGAUAUAGAGAGUAUUGUUGGAGUUUACACUCUUAACUUUGUCCUAAAUUACUAAGAGCCACAUUUUUUAUAUUAUAUUUAGGAGUGGAGUCUCUUGGAGAUGCUCUACUAUCCGAUCGGCUGAAAUUAUUUUUCUGAAAUAAAUUUGUAUUUUUCCCCACAUAAUAUUUAUUAAAACACCUUCUUAACAUUUAUAUUUUAAAAUAUACAUAUUUAGAAGAAAAAAAAGCCUUUAAUAGGGUUUUAAUUUUAAACGAAUUAUAAACGAAAAGUAACUUUAAUUAUCAAUGCGAAUAAGUUGUUUAUAUUCAUAAGUUCUUAAAUAUAAAAAUUACAAAUUAUCUUUUCAAAAUAAUCUUAUAGAUCCUUGUGAAAUCAAAUUUUCAAUAUCAAAAUAAAAUACUUUCAAUUUUCCAUAUUUUUAUAAACACAUAUAAAUAGAUAACUUGAUUCCAAACUAUAAAUUUUAUAUCGAACAUUCUUUUACUCCCGAAAGGCCCAAACCCGUAUAUCGAGAAAAGGCGUGGAGACUUGAUGUCGCAAGUGAGAUUUACUGCGACUAUAAACACCGGUCAAUCUUUUCGUCAUCUAUAAUUCUUUUAUCCGACUAUUUAAUUUUGGGUUUUUUUAUAGUGUGUCUAUAAACACAUGCCAAUCGCAGAAAUUUUUAUGUUUUCAUCAUUUUAAUUGGCUCUUACUUCUUAAUUUCUUAAUAAUAAUAGACCCUCCUGCAAAUACAUCAACCACAUCAAUCAAAAUGAUUUAAAUACGAAAAUUUUCUUAAUAAUAAUGGACCUCCUACAAAUACACCAACCACAUCAAUCAAAAUGAUUUAAAUACGAAAAUUUCCACACUUAGCGUGUGCCAUGAGCUCACACAAGACGAACCCUUUAAUUUUAUAGAAGUAGCAACUAGCACCAGAGACCAGUUGUGGAGUUUGAACGAGAGUAAGAUUUGGGUGUGCUGGCAGGAUUCACACGUGCUUUUCUUGUCUAGGGAUUAUGUCUCACGUGCGAUCAGACGGUCCAGUUUCAUUUGAGCACUCCUACGCAUAUUGUUUUCUGAUGGGGUAUGCUACGUUAUCUUUAUAGGACAAUUAUGUGGACCCAUUUAAAUUGCCUUAAAAUUUGUUAAAAUUCUCCGGAUAAUAAAUCAAUAAAAUCUUUAAUUAAACUUACUGAAAUUAAAUUAUUUAAAAAAUUAGCUAUUUAAAUUGUUGAGAGAAGCUAAAACUACUACGCCUCACAUGUUAAGUAAAACAGAAAUCACUAAAAUUUAUAAAAAAUAUAAUUUAUGAAAAGAUAUUAAUAAUUGAUUAUCGAUAUAAUGGAGUUCGAGACAAUUAAAUUAUAAAAAUUAUACAUAUAAUUAUCAGAGAUAUGAACGAUUACCGUAACAAUAACUAAUUAUUAAUAUAUAUUAAAAUAUAAUAUAUGAAAUUAUGAACGUAUAUUAUCGUAAUUAUCUUAUAAUAUUUUAACGGUUUUUCUAUGGUCUGCCCAUGGGCACACAAUAAAACAAAAUUUGAUAAUUUUUCCUUAUUUUGAUUGGCUUACACCCCUUUAAUAAUGAUGGCCCCUCUGCAUUUACACCAACCACACCAAUGAAAACACACCAAAUUUAUGAGUUUCCGUGCUUAGCAUGUUUCCGUGCUUAGCAUGUGCCAAUGAGCACACACUAGACAAACCGAUAUUUUAAUAAUGAACGGCGGAUCGAUCCCUCCGCCUACUAAUCAGAGUUAGCGGGUUAGAUGCUUCUAUGUUCGGGCUGUAAAUAAUUAAAACAAAAAUAACUUUUAAUUCAAAUAAUCGCCACGAAAAUAAUAAUCCUCUUUUAAGAAAGUAUAUAUACACACCCAUAGGAAUUGUAUACAACCUGCAAAGCAGGCCCACAAUACAUUAGAACAACCAAGAGAAACUAUCACCUACCCUCACGUCCACCAUACCACCCUACAACAUCACUUCAUCACCCCAUGAUCAAUCACCGACAUACGCAUCAACAAUCGUCGCAACACGUGUCUGCUUUCAACCGGCUACAGCCAGUCACAUCCAGUCAGCGACCGGCUAAACCAGUUAUCAAUAUCUGCAAUUCCCGCUAGGUAUAUAAACACGAUCUAACAAAACAGUAGUUUCACUAGACAGAACAUCAACUCAACUCAUCUCUCUCUCUCUCUAAGGUCACCAUUAUUCUCUCUCUCUCUCUCUCUCUCACCUCCCCUCCUCCCCCUCUCUCUCGCCUCCAAUUCUCUCUCUCUCUCUCUCUCUCUCUAUCUCUCACCUCCCCUCCUCCCCCUCUCUCUCGCCUCCAAUUCUCUCUCUCGCCUCCAAUUCUCUCUCUCUCUCUCUCUCUCUCUAUCUCUCUCUCUAAUUGUUAGAAAUUUUAAAUAGAUUAAUUAAUUAUUUAAUUUCUGCUGAUUAUAAUUGGUUUUGGUGGAUAAUCUGCUUUAGGAUUUUUAGAAGGAUUCAAUUAUUGAUAAUGACGGUGUUAAUUAAUUAAUAAUUGUAGGGUUGAGUUUGUUCGGGGAGAAAUUUUUGGGGGCUUUAAUUAUAGAAUAUUCUGUUUAGGGGAGGUACUUUUAAUUUUAAAUUGUAGUGUUAUUUGUUCAAGGUGAAGUAUAUUCUAUCUGUUUUUUUGCUUAAUUUUUUGAUCAUGUAUGUUUUUUGAAUUAUAAUGUAAAGAUGUUUUUAGUGUAAAUUAGGGUUUGUUGUAGGAGAAAUUUAGGGGUUUUGGUUUGUGAGUAGAUUAAAUGUUUGUAAUAGAGGGGUGUUACUCCUUAGGAUUAUGACAAAAGGGGUUUCUUGGAUUUUUGUUUUGAAAUUUCGGGACUUUAAUAUCGCUGAUAAUUUGUAGUUAGUUCAAGAAAUGGUUCUCAUUGUCAUGAUUUGAUCUGCAUUUGCAUUCCGUGUGUUGAUUAGAUUAGAUGCUUGUAAAAGUAAAACCAAAUAUGCUUUGAGCGUCUCUUUGCUCUGAUGUGCUUCUAUGUGUUUAUGCGGUCAGACUCUAGUCAAUUGCUUCAGUUAAUCUGUGAAGUAAUCUUUUGUUUGUUUAUUUUCUUUUUAGUUCAAAUUGCAAAGGCAAAGGGCUUGAACUACCAAAAAAGCGCUAUUCUUGCCCUUAUUGUACAGAUUGACCAUCUGGAUUCAGAACCUAAAUCUAUGUGGGGAAUUGUAAGAGGGUAAUACUUCGAGUGGAUACUAGCUCUCUCUGAAUUUCAAAGCUGAAAGGAGAGGAACUGGAUACCUACUUGGAUAAUAGCCACCAGGCAGCAGGGCAGACAAUGGCGCCUUCCCGGGUGGCUGGUGGAUUAGCAGGAUUGGCUAAUUCUUCUACGAAUUCUGGAAUCUUUUUCCAAGGUGAUAGGCAGUCUCAUGUUGUUGGAAACUCACACUUGAGUUCUUUUGGAAACUCUAUUAAUUCAAAUUCUGGAAACCUGCGUUCUAACAUGGGGCCAAAUUCCGGGGAUGUAAGUAAUACAUUAUUAAACAGUGUGGCUGCCUCUGGGCCUAGUGUUGGAGCAAGCUCAUUGGUUACUGAUGCAAACUCGGGACUUUCUGUUGGCCCAAAUCUUCAGAGGAGUGCUAGCUUUAAUACAGACUCGUACAUGCGGUUACCAGCUUCACCCAUGUCAUUCUCGUCCAAUAACAUAAGCAUUUCAGCUUCAUCAGUCCUGGACGGGUCUUCUGUUGUGCAGCAGAACUCUAACAAAGACCCUAAUUGCUAUCAGAGUCAACAACACCAAGGGACAUCUAGUGCCACAUCAUUUUCAGCUGGGCGAGCGGGGCAAAUAUCACUUCCUUCUGGCCCAAGAAUUCCUGGAUCUUUCAUUCAAGAUCCCCUCUCGCACUUGCAGAAGAAGCCUCGAUUGGAUAUUAAACAGGAAGACAUCCAGCAACAACAGGCUAUACAACAGAUUCUACAAAGACAAGAUCCUAUGCAGAUACAAAACCCUAAUCCUCAGUUGCAAGCUUUAAUACAGCAACAGCGACUUAGGCAACAGCAGCAGCAACAGCAACAACUACUGCAGUCUAUGCCACAAAUGCAGCGAGCUCAGUUGCUGCAGCAACAGCAGCAGCAGCAGCAGCAGCAGCUGCAGAUGAGACAGCAGCUUCAACAGGGGGUGCAGCCUGCUUCUGCUGGAAAGCGACCUUAUGAUGGUGGCGUUUGUUCUCGUCGACUGAUGCAGUAUCUAUAUCAUCAGAGGCAGCGACCACAAGUGAGUAUUUCUUUUGGAGCACCCAUGUUUAGUUUUGAUACAUAAACCCUCAGUUUUGAAUCUAUGAUAAUUUCUUCAUCCUUGUCAGUCUUUACCCUGUAUCUGUUAUGUUACUUAUGUUGGGUUUCAAUUUUUUAAUUGUAAUCACAUCUCAUAUUAUGAACAGGACAAUACUUUUACCUACUGGAGGAAAUUUGUGGCGGAGUACUAUUCUCCACGGGCAAAGAAAAGAUGGUGCUUGUCAUUAUAUGAUAAUGUUGGGAUUCACUCUCUUGGUGUAUUUCCUCAGGCGGCCAUGGUUAGCUAUAUCUUUAAAUUUUGUACUUCUGCAAAUGGGGCAUAAAAUAUAGUACUGUUUUAAUCUAUUAGCUAUAAUGUAAUUGAAGUAUUGAACUAAUGAGCAAAUACCAAAAUAACUUCCAAGUAUAGAUGAAGAAUAAUAAUGUAAGAUCCUAUAAUUUCUUUGUUUUGUGUUGUUUGAUUUAAAAAAUUUCAGCAUUGCAUCUCACUAAAUGAUCUUUUCUUUCUGCUUGCAAGGAUGCUUGGCAGUGCGAUAUUUGUGGUUCGAAAUCAGGAAGGGGAUUUGGUGAGUGUUACUUGGUAGUAGGAUAUCAUAAUUAUAAAUGUUUGUACUCAAAAGUUGUUGGAGGUUAAGGGUGUAGCUUACUUUGGAUUUUAAAUAGCUUUUCGUCACUUACCUUUUUUCAUUGGAUGACCCUUGGACCCUUGCCUUUGCCAUAUAGACCUUAUGUUUAUCUACAUCUUUUGUUUAGCUCCUUCUGUUAUUUCUCUGCUGAGCGUGGGUGGCAUAGCCACUCUUUUUGAUAAAGAUGUACAUUUUUUUCUAUUUUAAUUGAUAAUGUCUUCUUAUUACAUAUAUGACAUAUGUUUAGGUAAAAGAAUGGUUUCAACUAUUUUAUACGUGUCUUGCUUUCCAUCGAUUGGUUAAAUAGUAGGACAUCUUGUCAGAUCUUUAGACUAGCUUAGGCAUAUUUUGAAUUUCCCCUGUUUUUGCAGUUACUUUAUCAAGAUGUGGGCUGUAAAGGGUGUUAGUUGGCAAUUGCAUAAGAUUAAUAUUCAGUCAAAUAUUCUGACUUUUUACUGUUGAUUUCGAUUUCAACAGAGGCAACUUUUGAAGUACUCCCUCGACUAAAUGAGAUUAAAUUUGGUAGCGGAGUCAUUGAUGAGCUUUUGUAUCUUGACUUACCACGUGAAUGUAGACUUUCUUCCGGAGUAAUGAUGUUGGAAUAUGGAAAAGCAGUUCAGGAAAGUGUUUAUGAGCAACUGAGGGUGGUUCGUGAGGGCCAGCUCCGUGUCAUAUUCACCCCAGACCUAAAGGUCUAUAUUUUUUCUCAUUUUGAUUGCUGUACAGUUGUAAUCUUCUUCCUGAACCUUUUACACAUGUUUCAGAUAUUAUCUUGGGAAUUUUGUGCAAGGCACCAUGAAGAACUUCUUCCCCGUAGGUUGGUUGCACCACAGGUUAGGCAUAUCUUUAAAAAGUAAAUGUUCCAAUUCACUUUUCUAUAUACUCUUUAAAAACUUGCUUCCAAUUGUAUGGCAUUCGGUCAAAGAUUAUAUUGUGCCUAUGUCCGCAUCAAGAUUUUUUAUUUUUAGAAGAAUUUCCAUUGCUUCUACUUGUGUUUUAGGUUCUCAAAAGUAUACAUUGCAAACAAUCUCUUUAAACAUAGAACUAAUAGAGAGAUGGGAGGCAGAUGAAUAGAGUAUAAUGAUUUAAGUUUAGUUUCUUACAUACACCUGUGACCUAUCAGGCUGUCAUAUUUCAUAUUUACAAGUUUUCCUUUUUGUAUUGUAUUCAUAGCAUAGUUUGAUGUUUAGGAUCUGUCAUUUUUAUCAGCUAUAUGUGUUGGCUGUUAGCCUAUUUAGUCAUAUGACCAUUUGUAGGAUUAUAUUGAUAAUUUGAACUCUGUUCAGAAAUUUUACAGUUGAUUGAAGGUUUAAAAUUCCUUUCAGGUGAAUCAGUUGUUACAGGUUGCACAGAAAUGCCAAAGCACUAUUACUGAAAGUGGGUCAGAUGGGGUCUCUCAGCAGGAUUCGCAGAAUACUAGUAAUAUGUGAGUUGCAUUUUAUGUUUUCAUGUCUAUGGGUAAUCUGAUGUGAAAUGGGGCUAUACUUAUCUGCAUCAAUACACCUUUGCAAUUGACAUCUGAUAUUUGAUAUUAGUAAUGAGUAUUUAGGUAGUGCAUGUGGCCUGCUUUGUAUCCACUACUAUAUGAUUCCAGGUCUGGUCUCUAUUUCGAGGGGAAAACAUAGAGAUACAUGAUCAGUGACCUUACAUCCCUAUGUAAUAUUAUCUAUAUUUUUUGGUAGUCAAUUAUGAUUUUUUUUUUUGCUACAUAAUUAAUUCUGAUCUUUUUUAGUUGUCUGGAUGCAAUUUAGUUGGUUGAUAUUUUUAUGUGUGAAUCCAGAGCUUAAUGUUUAAUUAUUUUGUCCAAAUGGCUGUGUUGCUUACAAUUGACAAUGUGUCAGGAUGGUGACAGCUGCCCGCCAAUUUGCUAAGAGUCUAGAGUCGCAGUCUUUGAAUGACUUGGGAUUUUCCAAAAGAUAUGUGCGAUGCUUACAGGUAGCUUUUUUUGGUGUAUUCAAGUAAGAGUGUGGGGUAUGGUUAAAUUCUUGUGAUGUUUAUGAUAUCAAGUUAAACAACUUUUAAACAGAUAUCGGAGGUUGUCAACAGCAUGAAGGAUCUUAUGGAUUUCUGCAGAGACCAGAAAGAUGGACCAAUGGGUAAGUACUAUUCAUGUAGUUUCUAGCAUUAAUUCAAUCUAGUUAUAAGUACAAACGUUAGGGGUUCAAAUGUCACCUGUGUUUAGUUUUAAGUACAAUUAAACACAUCUGAGUUGUAUUUUUCUCUGAUAAAAUACACAUAAAUAUUUUUUCCCACUCAAUGUUGUAUUCUAGAAGUGGCAGUAUGGUGGACCGUGUUCCUGUUAAAAUUGAAUAUAUCUACAAAUAAAUACUUCCCCAAGAACUGGCAUUGUUGUCUUAUUAUUAUCUUAAUUAUCCAAUUACAGUCAUGUACCAAACAAAGGAUAGAUAUAGCUAAUAUAAGUAUGUGAAAUUCUUGAACUAGGAAAUAGGAAACUUUGAGGAUUGCAUUUUAAUAUGUAUAUUUAUAUUUUUAUUUCUAGUCAAAAGUAUUCCAGGUUUAGAACAUGGGUUAUCUUCCGUACCUCUUUAGAGUUUGGAAAUUUGCCCAUAAUCAUUGCAUUUAUUAGAAUAAGUUGAGAUAUUAGCUUCGUUCGUCCCGAUAGCUGAUUUGGAAAGGAGCUUCUACCUUUGUUUCGGAGCCGUUCUGCAGGGUUGAUACUUGACAGCCCUUGAUCUGAGUUUUUCUUGUUCCUAUUUACUUGAUAACAUAAUAACAUAUUGGUUGACCAGGCCAGAACUGAAUUCCAAUUUUCUUGUAGUAUAAUGCUUAUAUUAGUAAUUUGUAAAUUUGAUUUUAUUAAAUAGAAACUGGUCCCCCUAUUUAAACACUUCUCCUGCUACUACUGUCUUGCAGAGAGUUUAAAGAAAUUCCCUCGACUUGCCAGUCCUGCCAAGUUUCAGCUUCAGAAGAUGCAGGAGUUGGAACAGAUGGCCAGUAUUAAUGGUUUGCAAACUGAUCGUGGAACACUCAACAAGCUAGUAGCACAAAAUGGGGGGCUUAAUAAUCAGAUCAAUUGUAACAAUCAAAUGGUUGGGCGAGCAGCCUUAAGUGGGUCGCCUCAAGCUGCCAUGGCCCUUUCAAACUAUCAGAAUAUGCUGAUGAGACAAAACUCUUUUAAUUCUAAUUCUAAUUCAGCUCAACAGGAGGCAACUUCCUCUGUGAGCAAUGUGAACCAGAAAGCAUCCCCGUCUUUCCAAGGGUCUGCUUCUGUAUUGUCAGGGACAAUGCAGAAUCCACAGACCAGUGGAUUCUCAAGUUCCCAUUUCUUGCAAUCGCAUCAACGUGCUCUUAAUGUUAACGGUGGUCUGCAACAGAACCAUCUGCAAUCUCCUCAAAACAGCCAGGGCUUGCAACAACAAAUGAUCCAGCGGCUGCUACAAGAUAUAAAUAGUAACAACAAUACAGGGGGUGUACAACCACAGCAGCAGCCCCUUGCUGGAAACAGUGCUAAUGUUAGUGCGGGAAGUGAUGGUCUUGGGUAUGGGAGCAACACGUCUAUGGGAUCAGCAGCUCAGGUGAAUAGAGUAGCUACUACAAACAAUCCAAUGCCAACCAGGAGCAAUAGUUUCAAAGGAGUUUCAGCUAGUGAUUCUUCUGCAGCUGUUGGCAAUAAUGGGAACAGCCAGAGAGCAUGUGAUAUACCACAAAAUCUUCAGUUGUCAGACGAAUUGGCACAGGAUAUUGCUCAGGAAUUUUCAGAACAUGGUCUUUUUAGUGAUCUUGAGGAAAGUAUGGCAUAUGGUGGCUGGAAGACAGGAUUGUAACUCACGUGAACGGCUUCUGUUGGGUCAGUUUCUCUAUGUACAUGUUUAAUUAUAUUAGGUCAUGUGUUUCCCGUCCUAUUGAAGCCGAACACACAUAAACUCGUUACAGUACGAAAAAGUUAGGAAAUGUUUAGAGUGUUUAGUUCCCCCUCUUUUUCUCGUUUAUGGUACCAAACCCAUCCAACUGUAAUUUUUUUGGUAAAUGGCGAUUACAAGAAACUUUGUAUACUCAGGCCUGCAUGUUUGCACUAACAUCCAGCUUGAAAUACCCUGUCCAUCUGUAAUAUUUGAGGACAAAUCCCUAUUGUGGUACCAAUACAUUUUCAUGCAUCUGUGAUCAGCUUGUUCAUUGCUCCGAGUUGCUGGCGUGACCUGCUCGUAUCGGAAGUUUGAUAGUAUAUUAACCUGUGUUUUUGACCGUGUGUGAUGUCACUAGCUGUCAUUAGCGAGAAACCAAGACAAAUUUGAAGCGAGAGAAGCCAGAGAAUUCUAUGAAACUGUUAGUGCAGACUGCAGAAGAGACUGGCUGAGAAUCUGUAUUUAUGUUUCUGCUGUAUUAACAGUUUUAGGAAUCUCAUUGUGUCUGGCAGAGUAAUAAAGACGUUUACCCAUUUAUAUAUUUUUCUUAUGAUAGAAGAAUGUUUAUACCUAAAAUAUGUAAUAUUAUGGUAGUAUACAAUCGAAAGAAUGUUUUGUUUAUAUUAGAGCAUUUACACAGGGUGCUCUGUUUCGUUCCCUCAUCCCUAAAUUUUGAGGAAAUCAUGAAUUUUAGUUGAAAAAUGAGCUUAAACCCGGUUCCUAUUUUUAGGCAAGUCUCGUUUAUAUUCAACAUAAUAUUUGUGUAAAGGUAGAGUGAGAAACGAUAAAAUACUUCUGUCAUUUUCAAGCUUUUUUACAGUUUUCUUGUACUGGUACAUAUUUUAAGUUGUAUAUAAAAUAUAGUUUUAUGAUUAUAUUUAAAAUCUUUCUAUAAAAAAUUUAAAAUCAAACUUUAUUUAGAAGAAUAUAUUUAUAAAAUUAUAUUUUAUAAAAAUAUUAAAAUAUGUGUAUACUCUGUCCUCAAUAUGAUUCGAUGAAGGCACAUAAGAAGUCGAAAUGAAAGUUGUGCACAAAAGUAAGAGAGAGGUAAUAAAGAAUUAAUAUAACAAGUUGAGAGGUAAUAAAGAAUUAAUAUAACAAGUUUUUAGAUGGUAUGCCAAAGGAAUAAAUUUAAAAAGUUAUUAUUUCGGUAGGAAUACAAGGAUUAAG
rnacentral:lncRNA from 1 species